UUUUCUCUAAUUAGGGUUUUCAAUUUUUUUUCCCAAUCUCCUCCGCUCCUCAAGCCAUCUCCGAUCAAAUCCGCUCCUCGGCUUACUCGGAGAUUUACUCGGCCGAUGAAACUAUCUAGUAGCAGGUUCUUUUCUUAUCUCUUCUGUUCAUUGCUAAUCUCACGAAUCUCAUGAUUUUGUUUAGUCUUAUUCAAGCCGUAUUCUUACGAUGAAAGGGGUUUUGUUCUUUUUCUCUAAUUAGGUCUUCUGAUUCUUCGUGUCUGUAGUUCUCGGCAUCUCUCACUCCUAUCAGAUCCAUAGAGAUUCUUCGCCGCCGCAUCUUACGAAAACCUCUAUGGAUCUGUUUCGUGUACAAAAUCCUCUACCAUCAGGUUAUGCGUUUUUCUUUUCUAUCUCUUUCGUUGCAAAUCUCAUGAGAAUCUGGUGGUUUGUAUAUUGAAUCUUUUAGUCUUAUUCAGUUUAUACCUUAUUAUUGGAUUCUUACUAUAUUUUACAAAAGUUGUGCUUGCUUGAUGAUUGUUAGGUUCCUGGUUAGGUUUUUUUUGGGUGUUAUCCGAAAGAGAACGAGUUAAGAAAAAUCCAAUAUACAUAUCCAUUGUUUGUCGUGAUCUAAUUUGCCCUGUAUUGAUUCUGUUGCUUAAUUUUGUGACUUUUAUUUCAGAAAGCUAGCCUUUUCACGACAUAUGUUUUUGUUUCCUUAGGUCCUGGUUAGGAUUUUUGGGUCUUACCAAAAAGGGUACGAGUUACACAGUUCCAUUGCUGAUCUUUCUUUACUGGGAUAUAUAUUGAUUUUGCAACUUGAUUUGUGAAUAUUCUGUUAGAAAGUUAGCUUUUUUUUUUACCACACAUUUGUUUAUUUUUUGUGUGUGUGUGUUCUGCAUCUUUUAUAGCUGGACGAUGGUUAUUAGUCUAGAUUAAUAUUGUCAUAGACUUCAAUUAUUAUACAACUUGCUGAAUAUGGUUGUUGGUGCAUAGAGAGAGAGAGAAACACUCUUGUGCUAAUUAAAUGUCGAGUCAAACUAAUUUUCACUACUCAAGAUAGAUAGACUCAGUACUAGAUCUCAUGAUUUCUUUGACUUAACAUUUGAACAGGCUACUGUUGGACCAGGCAAUACACUGAAACGGAUGAUGCAAAGUACAUGGAAAAGGUUAGAUUUUGUUUACUUAUUUAUAGUUUAACAUUUGUGCAUUUAUCAUUGGCUGUUUUAUGUUUUUGUGCUUGAGUUGUGAAUCAUAAAGAUUAUUGUUUUCUG
rnacentral:lncRNA from 1 species